AGCAGCCGCGGUAAUUCCAGCUCCAAUAGCGUAUAUUAAAGUUGUUGCAGUUAAAAAGCUCGUAGUUGAAUUUCGGGGUUCUACCGUUGGUCGGGCAAUAGUCUGUACUGGCGUGUAGAAUUUCUACCUUCUGGGGAACCAUCAUGUUAUUUAUUUAGCGUGGUGGGAAACCAGGACCUUUACCUUGAAAAAAUUAGAGUGUUCAAAGCAGGCUUACGUCUGAAUACAUUAGCAUGGAAUAAUAAAAUAGGACGGUGGUCCUGUUUUGUUGGUUUCUGAAUCACCGUAAUGAUUAAUAGGGAUAGUUGGGGGCAUUAGUAUUCAAUUGUCAGAGGUGAAAUUCUUGGAUUUAUUGAAGACUAAACUUCUGCGAAAGCAAUUUGCCAAGGAUGUUUUCAUUAAUCAAGAACGAAAGUUAGGGGAUCGAAGACGAUCAGAUACCGUCGUAGUCUUAACCAUAAACUAUGCCGACUAGGGAUCGGACGAUGUUAAUUUUUCUUGACUCGUUCGGCGCCUUACG
rnacentral:rRNA from 1 species